AGAAAGGGCACUUCUCCCCUCAAAAAUAAUGAAGUCUUCAAGCCGCGUUCCCACAGCCUCCCCGAGGGUGUAAUGUUGCGCUUUUAUGCAACUCGUCUCCUAGUCGAAUCGCUGGUGAACACAUUCGGCUCAAACACUUUUGCCGCCUCGGCAAAAACUGGAUACCUCUUACACACUUUGCUUUGUAUUUUCGAGAAAAUUGAUACAGCCUGCAGUGGUGUACAUUCAAGGGGCGUUUUGUUGCGAUUUCAUUCUUAAAUAGAGUCUCUCUUGUUUGAGAAAUUAUAAUGUCUAGUCUGGAAUUAAUCGUGUUCAAGUAUACUCGAUAAAUUUUCAAACUCGAUUUUCUCGUAAACUAAGUCUUAAAUGAACAAAUUUUAUCUGGUAUUUUGUUCUUAUUUUUUCAUAAGGAAUCACCUCGUGUCCGCUUGUACAUGUUAUUUGGCCGCAUCCUGUAUAUCUAUAGAUCUAUAUAUAU